ACAAUAUUUUGUAUCCAUCUCAUUCUUUGUUCCAUAUUGACCCACGUAUAUUUGGUUGUGUAUGUUUUGUUCGGGAUGUUCGUCCCACUAUCACCAAGUUAGAUCCAAAGUCUUUAAAAUGUGUCUUUCUUAGUUAUUCUCGUGUGCAAAAGGGGUACACAUGUUACUCUCCUGA